AAAACAUGUACGAGGUCUAACCAAUAAGUAAUGAGACUAAUUCAAUAAAAUACGUAUAUUUAAAUAUUAAGAUACAUCGAUGUGAUCCCCUUCAAAGUACUCCCCUCCCACCCCUAUACACUGGUUCCAACGUUUUUUCCAGCUCUCAUAACAUUUCUGGAAGGCUUCGACUGGAAUGUCCUGAAGUACCCUCGUCACGGCGUUCUGGAUGUCAGUUAUGGACUCAAAAUGCGUUCCUUUCACGGCCAAUUUUGUUUUAGGGAACAAAAAGAAGUCGCAGGGUGACAUAUCCGGCGAAUAGGGCGCUUGUGGCAACACUGCGAUGUUCUUAGAGGUCAAAAAUCGCGACACACUGAAGGCACGAUGGCAUGGAGCAUUGUCAUGAUGAAGGUACCAUCUUUGCACACAGCUUUUUCAUGGACAAAUCAUCAGUUAAAAUUUUUCUGACGGUUUCUCGUUUCAAAUUAAGUUCAUCAGCCAACAUUCGAACGGUUAAACGCCGAUCUUGAUGCACGAGAGUGCGCACACGCUGAACAUUGUUGUCAGUUCGAGCUUCAACCGGUCUCCCACUUCGCGGUUCAUCCCCGACGCUUUCACGAC